rnacentral:lncRNA from 1 species
GGAAUCAUCAGGGCAAAGAGAAAAGGGAGUGUAGGUCAUGUAGGUGUGCAGGAGGUCGGGAUGGUCGCGGCAGGAGGAGGCCAUGGGGGAGAGGUGGGUGUAGAGGAGGAGAUCAGAGGGAGUGGCGGAGGAGGCGGAGGAGGAGGAGGUGGAGCGGAGGCGAGUAAGGUGGGUGAGGGUGGCGCGUAUGGUGUUGAGCUGGUGGCGGAGGUGGUCGGGAACAGGUGCGGGAGGCGGCGUAGGCUUGGAUUGAAUAGUAGAAGACAGGUGGUAAAGGGAGAGGAUGUUUGUGGCCACCAUGGCCACUAGAAGCAGCAGGUUCAGUCCCAUGGUCAAACCCAUUUCUCUCCUUCCCUC